rnacentral:tRNA from 1 species
UCCCUGGUGGCUCAGAUGGUAAAGCAUCUGCCUUCAAUGUGGGAAAGCCGGGUUCAAUUCCUGGGUUGGGAA